AUGCUUGAAGAAAACAAAAGGAACACGCACCGCUUGCAGAUGAAGGUGAACAGACUAAAUUGCUCGAUGCAAAAACUUCAAAAAAAGUGCGAUGAGUUGAGCAGAAAAGUUCAAGAGUUUGAGCAGAAUAAAGCGGUACAAGCUCUCAAGAACAUCUUCGCUGCAGCAGACCGAGGGGACAAAACUGCCACUUUUGUGAGACACCAAAUAAUGUCGUUUGGAAAAACAAGGCCCAGCUAUGAGGAGCAUGUUCUCCGUGAGUGCGUCCUUUGGAAGGCAUGCUCAAGCAAGGGAUAUGAGCACGUCAAGGCUCGGAAACUGUUCAAGCUGCCAUGCCGUAGCACCCUCCGAAAGUUUGUUGGGCGUUCCACCGGAGAAGUGGGCGUCACAACUCUAAUCAAAGACCGUCUACGUGCCGAAUUUCAGGCAUUGAAAAUUGACCAAGAAAGGCACUGCUCUCUCAUUAUUGAUGAGAUAGCGAUACAGCAGAAAGUCGUGUACGACCGUCAAGUGGACAAGAUUUUCGGACUAGUUGACAUGGGUAUAGACUCGUCCGAAGCAUCCAGUUCAGGCACGCCCCAAGUAGCAAACAGGCUGUUAUGUUUUGUAAUUCGCGGGCUUUCGACAGCCUACAUUAUCCCUGUCUGUUAUUUUUUCACAAGAUGCCUGAGGAACGACGAACUGAAGAAAAUGACAUUGAGUGUCGUGCAGACCAUUGAGGGCGCUGGAUUUCACGUCACGAGGAUUGUCACGGAUAACCACAAGACGAAUGCCGCGCUCUUCAGGAGCAUGUCAGAAGACAAGACACUGCAGCAUGUAAUCGCACAUCCUUUUCGGGAAGACGACCCUUUAUUCUUAUCGUUUGAUCCCAACCAUCUCAUAAAAAAUUUGAGAACUAAUCUGCUGGAGAGAAGCAUGUUUGAUGGAGAUGAGGAGAUCCAAGGGGGUCUUUUCCUCAAAGAACUAUACGACAUCCAGAGUGGCCUUUUGGUGAAGCCGGUAAGGUUUCUGACACGGGCACACGUCGACCCCAGCAACCUCGAGAAAAUGAAGGUGUCUAGAGCAACACUCCUAUUUUCUCCAGUGGUUAUUGGGACUCUUGAGUACCUCAAAGAAAACCCCAGCUGCCAUGAAAGGGCGCCUACUUUCGAAGGCUGUGGCGCGACCGUCCGCUUCAUGAGAGCCAUAGGGAAGUGGUAUGCUUUGCACAACAUUGGUGGGUGGACCGAUUGACAUGACCAGGAGCAGCCCUUCAUAACUACAGAUGAUGAAAGACUGUCGUGGCUCGAAGUGGACUUCGUUGAGUACAUGGAACAUCUAAGAACUUCCGGCGAUGGUGCACGCAAUCGCUGUAUGACGAAAGAAACAUAUGAGGCGACUAUGAUGACGACAAGGUCCACAGUGGCCCUCGCCGAGUACCUUCUUGACAACAUAAACUUCCGGUACGUCCUAACACGCUGCUUGAACAGCGACCCCGUGGAGUCUCUUUUUAGCUGUUUCCGGCAGUUCAACGGUGGAAACGACAAGGUGGACGCAAGGACCGCUGUAUUCACUGCAGAGAGGUUGUUGAAGGUCGGAAUCAUCGAGGCAGCAAAAUCUGGAAAUGCGCCAACAAGCUACGAUGCCCAGACUUCAGUGCGAUCGUCCGCUCCCCAACGUCCUGACGACAACCUUCCACCAGUCAUAGAGAUGGCAGCGAGGAGGCUCAUGAGGGAGCUGAGGUCACCGGACGUUUGUGAUCAAGUGUCAGAAAGCCUGGAACUCGCUCCACUAGCCUACGUGGCAGGCUACAUAGCGCUUGCUUGUGAUGAAAAGGUCACCUGUCCUUCUUGCAAGACACUACUUCAUCAGCCUCGCACAACGGACAGCCCCUUCAACUUGCUUAGAAUUCUCGAUCGUGGAGGACUAACGUAUCCGACGUUAGAUGCUCUUUGGGUGUGCAAGAUCACCUGCAGGUUUGUGCAGGACGUGCUGCAGUCCUCUGAUGUCAGGCGAAGCAGUCAAAUAUCGAAGAUGUUACUCGCCGCGUUGCUUCCUUGCAUGAUGUCGUGCCCACUGAUGUGGUGCAAAGAAAGGGAUUCCCAAGAACAUAGCAGGGAACUUUGUGAAUUGUUUCUGCGGAAGCUGCUCAGGCCACUCUUGGCUAACUGGACUGGAAACGUCAAUGACUCCCUCGAUAGAUAUAUGAAGCUUUAUCACAAGCCACUUUCACGAAAGGUCUUACGGUUGUAAGGUUGUGUUUCAACGAACACAAUUCUCGCAACGUUAUUGCGGUGAUUACGUUAAAGUUUUCCGCAUA
rnacentral:sRNA from 1 species